rnacentral:rRNA from 1 species
GAUGAACGCUAGCGGGAGGCUUAACACAUGCAAGUCGAGGGGCAGCAUAGGGUAGCAAUACUCUGAUGGCGACCGGCAAACGGGUGAGUAACGCGUAUGCAACCUACCCUGUACAGGGGGAUAACCCGGAGAAAUUCGGACUAAUAUCCCGUAAUAAUAUCCGGAGGCAUCUUUGGAUAUUUAAAGUUCCGACGGUACGGGAUGGGCAUGCGUAACAUUAGCUGGUUGGUAAGGUAACGGCUUACCAAGGCUAUGAUGUUUAGGGGUCCUGAGAGGGUGGUCCCCCACACUGGUACUGAGACACGGACCAGACUCCUACGGGAGGCAGCAGUGAGGAAUAUUGGUCAAUGGGCGCAAGCCUGAACCAGCCAUCCCGCGUGCAGGAAGACGGCCCUAUGGGUUGUAAACUGCUUUUCCAGGGAGAGAAACUUACGCACGUGUUGCGUGACUGACGGUACCUGGGAAUAAGCAUCGGCUAACUCCGUGCCAGCAGCCGCGGUAAUACGUCUA